AACGCAUUAAGCACUCCGCCUGGGGAGUACGACCGCAAGGUUGAAACUCAAAGGAAUUGACGGGGGCCCGCACAAGCGGUGGAGCAUGUGGUUUAAUUCGAAGCAACGCGAAGAACCUUACCAGGUCUUGACAUCCCUCUGACCGCUCUAGAGAUAGAGCUUUCCUUCGGGACAGAGGUGACAGGUGGUGCAUGGUUGUCGUCAGCUCGUGUCGUGAGAUGUUGGGUUAAGUCCCGCAACGAGCGCAACCCUUAUUGUUAGUUGCCAUCAUUUAGUUGGGCACUCUAGCGAGACUGCCGGUGACAAACCGGAGGAAGGUGGGGAUGACGUCAAAUCAUCAUGCCCCUUAUGACCUGGGCUACACACGUGCUACAAUGGGAAGUACAACGAGUCGCUAGACCGCGAGGUCAUGCAAAUCUCUUAAAGCUUCUCUCAGUUCGGAUUGCAGGCUGCAACUCGCCUGCAUGAAGCCGGAAUCGCUAGUAAUCGCGGAUCAGCACGCCGCGGUGAAUACGUUCCCGGGCCUUGUACACACCGCCCGUCACACCACGAGAGUUUGUAACACCCGAAGUCGGUGAGGUAACCUUUUUGGAGCCAGCCGCCUAAGGUGGGAUAGAUGAUUGGGGUGAAGUCGUAACAAGGUAGCCGUAUCGGAAGGUGCGGCUG
rnacentral:rRNA from 1 species